AACGGCCGUACCAUGCUGAAUAUAUCGGUUCUCGUUUAGAUCACCGAAGUCAAGCAUCAUUGGGCGCGGUCAGUACUUGGGUGGGUGGGUGACCACCUGGGAACACCGCGUGCCGUU